UGGGGAAUAUUGCACAAUGGGCGCAAGCCUGAUGCAGCCAUGCCGCGUGUAUGAAGAAGGCCUUCGGGUUGUAAAGUACUUUCAGCGAGGAGGAAGGCGUUGUGGUUAAUAACCGCAACGAUUGACGUUACUCGCAGAAGAAGCACCGGCUAACUCCGUGCCAGCAGCCGCGGUAAUACGGAGGGUGCAAGCGUUAAUCGGAAUUACUGGGCGUAAAGCGCACGCAGGCGGUCUGUCAAGUCGGAUGUGAAAUCCCCGGGCUCAACCUGGGAACUGCAUCCGAAACUGGCAGGCUAGAGUCUUGUAGAGGGGGGUAGAAUUCCAGGUGUAGCGGUGAAAUGCGUAGAGAUCUGGAGGAAUACUGGUGGCGAAGGCGGCCCCCUGGACAAAGACUGACGCUCAGGUGCGAAAGCGUGGGGAGCAAACA
rnacentral:rRNA from 1 species